rnacentral:rRNA from 1 species
GACAGAGGGGGCAAGCGUUGCUCGGAAUUACUGGGCGUAAAGGGCGCGUAGGCGGGAUGGCAAGUCGGUCGUGAAAUCCCUCGGCUCAACUGAGGAUCGUCGAUCGAUACUGCCGUUCUUGAGGAUUGCAGAGGAGACUGGAAUUCCCGGUGUAGCGGUGAAAUGUGUAGAGAUCGGGAGGAACACCGGUGGCGAAGGCGGUCUGCUGGGCAGUUGCUGACACUGAGGCGCGACAGCGUGGGGAGCAAACAGG